AAUUAUGAUAUGCUUCUCCAAUAACGGCAUUUGAACAUUGCACCACCCCCUUCAGAUGCGACGCCGUUGCGCCGCAGUCUGUCAGAAAAACACAAUAAUCUCAACAAGAACCCCCCACAAAAAAAAAAAUAAAAAACCCAAAAUAUAUAUACAUAAUAUACACGUAGUUGCAGGUGGAAAUUAAACGGAGAUUUUCGAAAAUUGAAGAAGAAAACAAGAACAGAGGG
rnacentral:lncRNA from 1 species